rnacentral:rRNA from 1 species
UCCUACGGGAGGCAGCAGUGGGGAAUCUUGCGCAAUGGGCGAAAGCCUGACGCAGCAACGCCGCGUGAGCGAAGACGGCCUUCGGGUUGUAAAGCUCUGUCAGGAGGGACGAAGCCACUCGGGUGAACAGCCCAGAGGGUGACGGUACCUCCAGAGGAAGCCCCGGCUAACUACGUGCCAGCAGCCGCGGUAAUACGUAGGGGGCGAGCGUUGUCCGGAAUCAUUGGGCGUAAAGCGCGUGUAGGCGGCUCGGCAAGUCCGGUGUGAAAGCUCGAGGCUCAACCUCGAGUCUGCAUCGGAAACUGCCUUGCUAGAGUCCGGAAGAGGAGACUGGAAUUCCUGGUGUAGCGGUGAAAUGCGCAGAUAUCAGGAAGAACACCGGUGGCGAAGGCGGGUCUCUGGGACGGUACUGACGCUGAGACGCGAAAGCGUGGGGAGCAAACAGGAUUAGAUACCCUGGUAGUCCACGCCGUAAACGAUGGGCACUAGGUGUGGGAGGUGUCGACUCCUUCCGUGCCGAAGCUAACGCAUUAAGUGCCCCGCCUGGGGAGUACGGCCGCAAGGCUAAACUCAAAGGAAUCGACGGGGCCCCGCACAAGCAGCGGAGCAUGUGGUUUAAUUCGACGCAACGCGAAGAACCUUACCUGGGUUUGACAUGUUCUCGUAACUCCUGGAAACAGGAGCCCUCUUCGGAGCGGGAUCACAGGUGGUGCAUGGCUGUCGUCAGCUCGUGUCGUGAGAUGUUGGGUUAAGUCCCGCAACGAGCGCAACCCCUGUCCUAUGUUGCCAGCGGAUCAUGCCGGGGACUCGUAGGAUACUGCCGGUGACAAACCGGAGGAAGGUGGGGAUGACGUCAAGUCAUCAUGCCCCUUAUGUCCAGGGCUACACACGUGCUACAAUGGCCGGUACAAAGGGCUGCAAGACCGCGGGGUGGAGCGAAUCCCAAAAAGCCGGUCCCAGUUCGGAUUGGAGGCUGAAACUCGCCUCCAUGAAGUCGGAGUUGCUAGUAAUCGCAGAUCAGCAAUGCUGCGGUGAAUACGUUCCCGGGGCUUGUACACACCGCCCGUCACACCACGAAAGUCGGUAACACCCGAAGCCGGUGGGCCAACCCGCAAGGGAGGCAGCUGUCGAGGGUGGGAUCGGUGAUUGGGGUGAAGUCGUAACAAGGUAGCCGUAGCGGAAGCUGC